ACAUGACUAUUUAUGAAUUUUUGGAAACCUUUUUUUUGUUGCUCUUGUCUUUAGGCUAAAUUGUACUUUAUCCAGUUUUUGGUUCCACUUUUACUUUUAUUGCUUGUGCUAAUGUGAAAACCAAAAUUGCUGUCUCAAUUACAGCCAUUUUACAAUGAAUGGGUUGAAAGGCUUGAAAUCUUGGAUAACUGUUAUUACUGUCCUUUUUUGUUCACAAUUUUUAACCUUUUUAUUUGUUAACAUGAUGAUUUUAACGUUAAUUUGACGGUCAAUUAUAUCAAGGUUUACUUGGUACAAUAAGUUUAGUGUAAAUGUAUUGGGAAAAUUUAUUUUAAUUUUGAAUCAUGACAGUUUGACUGUGUUUAAGGGUUUUGAGUUUAAUACAAACAAGAAAAAUAUAAUAGAAGAAGAAGAAAUGUUCACUUAAUAAACGCACCAUUAUUGUAUGUAUAUUGUAUUAGAUAAUCAAGAAUAGGACUAUUACCAUCAUCAGGAGCUUCCCAAACAAUGGUUAUAUCACGACUUGCUACUUCAACUGAUCUUAAAUUGCGCGGAGAUCGAGGUGGACCUUGGACAAUCAAAUGAACUGUUUUCUCAGCUUUACCAUAAGAGUUGCUGGCAGUACAAAUAAAUGUACCUGAAUCUUCUACAAGAGGGGAAUCUAGGGUUACAUGGGAUAUUACUCUGUUUCCAUUAACAUCUUGAUUAAUUUGAAAUCUCGAUGAUGAUAAAAAUGAAUGAUGUGAACUUGAAGGAAUCAAUUCUCGCCCAAUUUUCAUCCCAUUGACACCAUUGCUACCAAGAAUACCUGCUAAUCGUAGACAACCCGUCGUCGUAAACAUAAUCACCUUCAUCAGCUUCAGUGGAAUCAAUUAUAACCAGCGAACCAUUCUCUGAAACAUGGAUAUGAGGUCCACUGACGACACCAAUUAACUCAUUUGAAGCUGAAGAUUCCAAUCAGCCUGGCAAUUCAUCAAAACUUUUGAACCACGUAUAGUUGAAUAUCUUUCCAAUGGUUUUAAUAUCCAUUUAGGAGCAGCUAAAUACAAAGAAAAAAUAAAAAACGAGUGAAAAAUGAUGACAUAAAUUAACACCUCGGCUAAAGCUCAACACAUUUUGAGCGUUAUGAGAGCCCCCGAUCAUGACUGAUCUUCAGAAACUAUUAUUUGUAACGGAACUUUGGCCUUUUCAUUUCGCAGCUAAAAUUUGUUGAUAUUCAAUUCCCAAUACUUUAAUUUACUAUAUUUUACAAUUUAAAAUGUGUCAAAGGUAAAAUUAUACGCUCUUUGAAUAAUCUUUGAAAGACGCGCUAAUUGUUAAUUGGGUAGUUUUCCCUCGCUUUUUGUUGUCAUGGAUUUUUUUUGGUAAUGAAACAGUUAAUUAGUGUGAUAUUUUCAAGGUUUAACUUCUUAAUUUAUGAUUAUUAAUUAGACUUUAAUGGCACUGGUCAACUCAGGGCCGCUUUUCAGUUGAACCAUUUAAAAGCUAACUUCUGGUUAAAUAUUGGAGACUAUUGAGAUGUGACACUUGCACCCUGGGCUAAAUCACCUUCUUAAUGACUGAUUGUUAAAAAUUAAGGAACAAAGAAUCAAUCGUAUUGACGUUAUUAACGGAAUGGCUUUUCAUAGAAAAAUGGAAACUGAAAAAAGACAUGAAAUUGGUAGACAAAGCGGUCAACUUGAAUUCAUCAUUCAAUAAUAGCUACAUUGAGCAAAGUAAUUUAAUAACUCCAUCAUCAAAUGUUGAGAGCCAUCAUAUUAAUACAUAUAUAUGAAUGUUUUAAUAUAUGAAAAAUGGAAAGGAGGUAACCUGGAUAAAGGACCGAGUUCCAAUGACCAAGAGAGAGAUGAUCAAGAUAAAAGGAUGAAUCCAAUGGACGAGAGAGAAAAAAGAAAAUGUUGGCCAGUAAAAUGAUGAAAAUACAUAUUGAAAAAAGCAUAUCGAUGACAGGAAAGGGAAUGAAAAAAAAUGGAGAGAACCACAUAAAUGUGUAUAAGUAUAUGCGUAUGGAAAGGAUAUAAUGGCGGAGAAGACGAAGAAGAGACUUAUAAAUACUAUUAUCAUUACCAUUAUCAUCUUUAUCAUCAACUAUUAUUGUUAUUAUUAUAACAAUUAUUAUCAUUAUAAAUCAACAAUGAAAGAUAAAGCUUUAUAACAAGAAAAUCAACAAGAAAGAAAGAGUAAAGUCACCAAGAAAUAUGAAACGCUGCAAAGAAUAUGCAAAUCAUAAAUUUCAUCAACCAAUAUUAAUAGACAAUAUGUUGACCCAUUUUUUGCGGUUAAAAUUGUGAUGGAAAAUGAAAUGGUCAAUGUCAUGUUCACUUUAUUUAUCCCCUUUCUUUAUAUGGACCAUCAUCAAGAGCAACUUUCCACCCACAAUGGACUAACCAAAAGGAGAGAGAAAUAACGACUUUACCUAUUUGAUUGUUUGGAGAUGAAAAACAAGUGACCAAGUGAAAUGUUAAAGUUAAUGGUUAGGACCAGACAAACAAAAAGAUGAACCAGAAAGCAAAACAAAGUUGUAAUAUAUUGGGAAAAAAAACUGUUCGUUGGCUCUCACCGGAAUCUAAUCAAAGUGGGAGAUGCGAUAAUUGGACAUCAAUGAAUCAGGUUGAGGUUCAAAUGGAAAAACAAGAAUCUUUUCUUAAUGAGAAAGUAUUGAAGCAUCUCCUGGACAACUAGAUGUUAAUUAGAAGAUAUGAUGAUGAUGGUGGUGAUAACAAAAAUGAUGAUCUAGUGGUAAAAAUAGUAUAAAGGAGUGAAAAGAAGAAGAAAGCUCAAGCUAAAAAUUAUUCCACUUUUUUACCACUAUUAUCAUUAUUAUUGGUAUCAUUAUUGUUGAACAAUAUCAUCUUGAUUAAACGAUAAUAAUAAUAAUGAUGAUGAGGAAGAUAAAAAAAGACAUGCUUCAACUGUAAAGAUAGAGAGAGAGGUAACACAGAGCAUUGAGUUAGCCAAAAAAAAGUGAAAGGUUUAUCACAAUGUUUAGUAAAUGAAUAAACAAAAAUAUGAUAAAAGAGAGGCAACAAUAUCAGGAAAUAAUAUGCAAUCAAAUGCUCUGGAAACAUCAAAAUAUUCCGCUAAGUGAACUUCAAUAUUAUUAUUAUUAUUAUCAUAAAUAUUAAGAUGAAAUCCCUGUUAUUUUCCAUUCCUUUCUCACUCCCAAUGCCCCUCUUUACUUCAUCAUCAACAACAUCAUCAUGAUAAAAUAAUGCCCAAGAGGACGAACCCUUUUUUCAUCUUCAACAUCUUCUAACUCGUUUAUGCUUUUUAUUCCUACUCUUUUUUGUGCUCUGCUUCAUGUUCAUCUUGUUGAUGCAUAUGUCAUUAGAAACCUGGCCAAAAAAAAGUAGAGAAAGAAGUAGAAGGGGAGUAAAAACUGACCAUUGGUCAAUACAGUGAUUGGAGAAAGGGGUUAAAUCUCGAGGUUACAUGUAGAAAGUCUUAAGGCCAUCUGCUUUGCCUCUUUUUUUCUCUCUUCUCUUUCCCUUUUUACUUUCUUUUUUGCUUCAUCUCUUUAACUCUUUUUACUCUUCUCUCAUUAUCAUCUUCUUGUUCACUGCUUUUUUGCUCCUUUUUGCAUACAUUUUGUGUACAUUUUUUGUCCAUUUGCUGUGUGUGUUAUUAUUGUGAAACACACAUUUUACUUACACCAAACUGAUUACUGUUAUAGAAGCGUUAUUUUGAUGUUCUCGCUGUUUUUCAGUUGUUUAUUGUUGACAGAGAAAUGGUUCCUUUCUCUUCUCGUCUGUUAGUUGAUUGUAUUUUACACUUUUGUCAAUGUUUGGUGUCAAUUGUUGGUUUUUAAUUUGAACAAUUGGUUGGACGCCAAUUAUUAUUUGAGUUAACAUGAGUUGAUGAGAUCUAAUAACAAGCUUUCAUGAUAAUAAUUAUAAGGCAAGAAACAAUGAACAAGCAAAGAAAAAGGGUUAAAGAGGAAAGUGUUGAGGAAAAGCAAAAAAGAGAAGACAAAUUAACAAAAA